CUGGCUUACCCUAGUGGAUCCUGCACCGGGGAGGCAGGCAGAGCUGCCUGCCAGUCUUGCGCCGUGUGCUCACACUCCUCAGCCCUUGGGCAGUGGAUGAGGCUGGACACUGCGGAGAAGGGGGUGGCACCAGUCGGGGAGGCUCGGGCCACUCGGCAGCCCAGGAUGUGGAGGGGCUCGGGCAUGGCGGGCUGCAGGUCAUGAGCCUUGCCCCACAGGGUGGCUGAGGCCCCACGAGAAUUUGAGCACAGCGCGGGCGGGCAGGCAGUGCUGGGGCACCCAGCGCACACUCCGCAGCUGCUGGCCCGGGUGCUAAGCCUCUAACUCCCUGGGGCUGGCGGCACCCGCCGGCCGCUCCGAGUGUGGGGCCGCCCAGCCCGCGCCCACCCAGAACUUGCGCUGGCCUGCGAGCGCCCCGUGCAGCCCCGGUUCCCGCCGGCGCCUCUCCCUCCACACCUCCCAGCAAGCAGAGGGGGCAGACUCCCGCCUCGGCUAGCACAGAGAGGCGCUCCCACAGUGCAGCGGCGGGCUGAAGGGCUCCUCAAGCACGGCAAGAGUGGACGCCUUGGCCUGAGGAGGUGCCGAGAGCCAGCGAGGGCUGCUAGCAUGUUGUCACCUCUCAGUUUCACUGCCCUGUAAUAUUCACAUACAGCUCUACUUUCCUGGUAUUUUUAGGCAUCUGGAAACAUAAGGAGCUUAUGAAGUCCUUGCAGCAGAGUUGAAGGAGCCUCAGAUGUGAUUGGAGGUCAUUGGGAAACACUGUGGGUCUUCUCUGUCUGGCCUUGAAGCACUGCCAUUAUGUCUGCAGCACUUCCACUGCUGGAUCUUUGAAAUUUUGAAGAGCUUCUGGGUCAUUCUCUAUGAAGUAGUUUGGAUAUUCGUCCCCUCCAAAUGUCAUAUUGAAAUGUGACCUCCAAUUUUGGAGGUGGACCUAGUGGGAGGCGUUUGGGUCAUGCGUUGGAUCCUUCAUGAAUGGCUUGGUGUCCUCCCUAUGGUAAAGAGUGAGUUCUUGCUCUGUUAAGUUCAUGUGAGAGCUGGCUGUUUAAAAUUUAAAAAUUAAUUAAGUUUAAAUUAUAUUGUUCUCUCUCCCUCCAUGUGACAUGCCAGCUCCCUCUCUGCCUUCUUCGAUAAGUAAAAGCUUCUUGAAGCCUCACUAGAAGCCAAGCAGAUGAUGGUGCCAUGCUUGUACAGCCUGCAGAACCAUCAACUCAAUCUCUUUUCUUUAUAAAUUAUUCAGCCUCAGGUAUUCCUUUAUAGCAACACAAAACAUACUAACGUGCUGUACAACCUUCCAUUUUAGCUAUACCCACACCCAAUACUAAGUGUUGUAUAUGCCCCUACUAUAUGAUCUAACCACUGCACUCGUAACACUAACCAAAAUGAAAGCAUAUGUCUUUACAAACACCUGUGCAAAUACAUUCACAGAAGCUUUAUUUGUAAUACUUAAAAACUGGACACAACCCAAAUGUCAUCAAAAGGCUAAUGAUAAAUUGUCAUAUAUUCAUGCAGUAGAAUAUUACUUAGCAAUAUAAAAUAGAAAAAGAUACAUAGUAAAAAAUAGAUACAUAUCAAACUAUGCAAGUCAAGGAAGCCAAACAAAAAAUAGUACCUAUGGCGGGGUGUGUUGGCUCAUGCCUGUAAUCCCAGCACUUCAGGAGGUCAAGGCAGGCAGACCACCUGAGGUCAGGAGUUCAAGACCAGCCUGAUCAACAUGGAGAAUCCGUGUCUCUACUAAAAAUACAAAAAAUUGGCCAGCAUGGUGGCACAUCCCUGUAAUCCCUGCUACCUGGGAGGCUGAGGAAGGAGAAUCAUUUGAACCCAGGAGGUGGAGAGGAGGUGGAGGUUGCCGUGAGCUGAGAUCACACUAUAGCACUCCAGCCUGGUCAACAAGAGUGAAAUUCUCUCCAAAAAAACAAAAAAAAAAAAAACAAAACCCAACAACAACAAAAAAAAAAAAGAAAAAGAAAAAAGAAACAGAAACAAAAACAAACAAAAAAUAAUAUCUAUGUAUGACUCUUUUAUACAAAAUACUGAAAAUGCAAAUUAGGUAAGUGUUUUGAGAAGGAGCAGGAGCUAGGGAUUACAAAGGGACACGAGGAAACUUGUGAGUGACGUAAAUGUUCAUCACCUCGAUUAUGAUUGUUUCAUGGGUGUGUCCAUAUAUCAAAGCUUAUCAAAUUAUAUAAUUUAAAUAUGUGCAGUGCAUUGUAUGUUCAUUAGAUAUCAAUACAGAAAAAACUAAGCAUUUGUAAAGAAAAAAUUAGUGAACUACUGCAAUAUAUGGAAACAUAAUGAAGUCUGAAAAAUGUAGUCCCAAAACACCAAAUACUUCAUAAACAAUAUUGGUAAAGCUCAAAAACAAGCACAUCUAAGUAUAGUAAGUUAUUGACAAUGUUUUGUUCUUGAUUUAAGUAGUGUGUCUACCGGUGUUUAUUUAUUUUUUACUUUAACACAGGUAUGUUGCAUACAUUUUUGACAUUUUGCAUACAUUCUCAUGUCAAAUAUUCACAUGAGAGUAAAGGAGAAUAAAAUAACCAAGUGAAAUCAAUAAUAUAGCACAGGUUGUAAUAAUUAUUAUUCAGCAAUUAGUUGAUUUUGGAUAUUAGUAUAGUAAGAAGAGCCUCAAAGCAUUAAUGAUGAUAGUGAUAUAACAUCAUAUCGAGACAAAACUUCUAAAGGGACGUAUUAUUUAAAUAAUAUUUCAAUAUAUAUUUAUGCCAUCUUAAUGGCUAGUCUAUACUAAGAUUUCCCAAUAUUAAAUAUAUGACACUGUGAAGUAUCAAUAUUGUUUUUGAUUUACAGUAAUUGAAUUUGCUUACAGACAACUGUAUAGCCUGUAUAUUUUUAUUCUCAGGCUUUUCAUGCUAUCUCACUGAAGCAUCUUGAAUAUAAGAUAUAUGAAAGACAUAAUAAGAAGAGAUAACUAAGAAUCAACCAUUAAUAGUCUUUUCAAGAAUUAAUGGUGCAAAACAGUGAAUAAAUCUGUUCAUAUUAAUUAAAAAAUGCUACCAUUAUGGCAAAAAUUUUCAUUAUUUUUAAUGUAAAUAGAGAAUUACUCUAGUAAAUUCUUUAAAUUUAAUUCCAAUUUUAGAUAAACAAAGAAUGUUAUUUGCAUGGCAUACAACAAGAUAGAAACAUCUGGUGUUUAUGCAUUUUCUGCUAAAUCACAGAUGACUAAUUAUUUUCCAUGUGUCAGGGAAAAAAUUGAUUAAUCACCCAUUCUUGUUAGCCUAAUGUUCUGCAACUUACAUCUAUUCUGUUAAGUCUUUAGCCUUCUCUGUACAAUCUGUGACCAGCCUUAACUGCAAAUGUGUUUAUUUCUUUUUUUGUUUUGUUUUGUUUUGUUUUGUUUUGUUUUUUGAGAAGGAGCCUCGCCCUGUUGCCAAGCUGGAGUGCAAUGGUGCGAUCUUGGCUCACUGCAACCUCUGCCUCCAGGGUUCAAAUGAUUCUCCCGCCUCAGGCUCCCUGGUAGCUGGAAUUACAGGCACCCGCCACCAUGCCCAGCUAAUUUUUGUACUUUUAGUAGAGACAGGGUUUCACCAUGUUGACCAGGCUGUUCUUGAAUUCCUGACAUCGUGAUCUGCCCGCCUUGGCCUCCCAAAGUGCUGGGAUUACAGGCGUGAGCCACCGUGCCUGGCCUAAUUUUUUUUUUUUAAAUUUUACUUUAAGUUCUGGGAUUCAUGUGUAGAACGUGCAGAUUUGUUACAUAGGUAUAAAUGUAUUUAUUUCUAUAUUUAAAAAAUUUCUUCAGAUAUCCUUGUACAUUUUUGUUUCUAGAUUAAUUUGACAGAGUCUUGCUCUGUUGGCCAGGCUAGAGUACAGUGGCACAAUCUCGGCUCACCGCAACCUCUGUCUCUCAGGCUCAAGCAAUUCUCCUACCUCAGCCUCCCAAGUACCUGGGAUUAUAGGUGUGUGCCAACAUGCCUGGCUAAUUUUUGUAUUUUUAGUAGAGAUACGGUUUCACCAUGGUGGCCAGGUUGGUCUUGAACUUCUGACCUCAGGUAAUCUGCCUGCCUUGGCCUCCCAAAGUGCUGGGAUUACAGGCAUGAGCCACUGCGCCCAGCCUAGAUUAAUUUUAAAGUCAUUGGACAAGCCCAUGGAAAUCCUUUGUGCUUUUCUUAAAAUUUUUAUUUCAUUUUUAUUUUUGUGGAAAUUAGGUCUCACUGUGUUUCCCAGACUGGUCUCCAUCUCCUCAUCUCAAGCAAUCCUCCUGCCUCGGCCUCCCAAAGUGCUAGGAUUACAGAUGUGACCCACCACACCUGGCCCCUUUUGUGCUUUUGAUUGUGUGAACAUGGAUUAAUUUGAAGAGAUUGGAUAUCUGUAUAUUGUUAAGUCUCCCCAUACUGAAAAUAUUUGCUAAUUUAUCUGUGGUUUUACAUAUAUUUCAGUAAAGUUUUAUAGUUGAUUUAUUAUUAUUUUUGUUGGUUUUAAAUAUUGAUACAUAAUAUUGAUACAUAUUUAUGGGGUACAUGUAACAUUUGUUUACCUGCAUAGAAUGUGCAAUGUAAUUAUUGUCAGGAUAUUUGGGAUAGCUAUCACGUCGUGUAUUUUUUAUUUCUAUGUGUUAGGAAUAUUCAAGUCCUCUCCAUAUAUUUUAAAAUAUAAAAUACAUUGUUGUUAAAUAUGGUCACCCUAUUCUACCAUUGAACAUUAGACCUUAUUCCUUCUAACUAUAUGUUUGUACCCAUUAACCAACCUCUCUCAACCCCUGCCACACACACCCUUUCCCACCUCUGGUAAUUAUCAUUCUACAUUCUACGUUUAUGAGAGCAACUAUUGUAGUUCUCACAUAAGAGUAAAAAGGUGGGAUUUUUUUCUUCCUGUGCCUGGGUUGUUUCACCUCACAUAAUGACCUCCAGUUCCAUUCAUGUUGCUGCAUGUGACACAACUUCAUUCUUUUAUGACUGAAUACUGUUCCAUUGUGUAUAUAACCACAUUUUCUUUAUCCAUUCGUUUCAAUAGACAAAUGGGACUGUCUUACACCAAAAAGCUUCUGCACAGCAAAUCAUUGUAGUCAUCUUAUUUUCUUUUUGUUUUAUAAGUAAUCAGACCACAAGAACCACACUCAGAGCUGAUGGAGAAGACCCAGAGAUCCUGAACUCUGAGCUGGAUACAGUAAUUGGAUAGGACCUGGGCUGGACUUUCUUGUGGGGGUGUGCAUAUAUACAUAUAUCGGUAUUUAGUAUAGACUAUGGCAGAGGUAGUUAGUUGUUUCUUUACAUCAUUCUCUAUUUCUGCCAUUAUUAAAAGGAUCCACACAUUUUAGCUAGGCAUAUGUUAUCUCCAUCUUUGCUAAGUCUGCAAUUUCAAAUCUCCCUUGUAUCUAGGUAAAGUAUUAUGACUUAAGUUCCGGGUAAUAAGAUAUGAGAGAAAGGUACAUGUAUGACUCUCAAUUAUGCCUAUAAGAAAAAUUGUCCAUAUCUUCCACUCUUAUCACCUUUCCAUUAGCCAAAAUAUACAAGUGAUAUUGUGAACUAUAGUACACAUCUGAGACCAUGAUAUAUGAAAGCCAAACCUUGAGCAUAACUUGGGAAAAGGACCUGGUUUUCAAUACCACACAGCUGCCAUUCCUGUCAUUGACAGUUUAUGCCAGGUAGUUACUUAAGAGGGGAAGAGUAUCUAUUUUACUUAAACAUCUAUUUCUCUUAAAACAACUGAAUCUGUAUGCUAACCAAUUUUAAUUUGUAUCUAUUGAAUGUUAUCAUUUGCUACAAUAUUAAAACUGACUAAAUAUACAUUAAACAUUUACAAAUAUAGUUCUGUACAUCACAGAAUCACAAGAAU
rnacentral:lncRNA from 10 species